rnacentral:lncRNA from 1 species
AAAAUAAAGAAAUUUAACAUUUACUCGCAAUCCUCUUGUGGGUCGUAUUUUAGAACCUAGUUUUCUUAAUCUGAAAUGGUUAAAUAAGAGAUGAGCUACACUAACACAGUAAGAAUAUCACAUUAUAUCACCGACACAGAAGUAACGGUUGGUUAAAAAAAAUACUAAUUGAGUACUAAAUUUAGCAAAAUCAUUUAUUGAUCAUAAAAAUUAUUUACCGUUUAUUUACCGUAGUGGGAUUUAUAA